CCUCUAGUGCAGAUCUUGGUGGUAGUACCAAAUAUUCAAAUGAGAACUUUGAAGACUGAAGUGGGGAAAGGUUCCACGUCAACAGCAGUUGGACGUGGGUUAGUCGAUCCUAAGAGAUGGGGAAGCUCCGUUUCAAAGGCCUGAUUUUCCAGGCCACCAUCGAAAGGGAAUCCGGUUAAUAUUCCGGAACCUGGAUAUGGAUUCUUCACGGCAACGUAACUGAGUGUGGAGACGUCGGCGUGAGCCCUGGGAGGAGUUAUCUUUUCUUCUUAACAGCUUAUCACCCCGGAAUUGGUUUAUCCGGAGAUGGGGUCUUAUGGCUGGAAGAGCCCAGCAUCUAUGCUGGGUCCGGUGCGCUUACGACGGCCCUUGAAAAUCCACAGGAAGGAAUAGUUUUCAUGCCAGGUCGUACUGAUAACCGCAGCAGGUCUCCAAGGUGAACAGCCUCU
rnacentral:rRNA from 1 species